UAUACUCACUAUUCGACAGAANACUACAAGCGAAACGCUUAAAACUCAUAGGACUUGGCGGUGUCCCAUACCAUCCUAGAGGAGCCUGUCCUAUAAUCGAUACUCCACGUUAUACCUCACCAUCUUUGGUUACUCCAGCCUAUAUACCGCCGUCGCCAGCCUACCCCAUGAGGGCCCUACAGUAGGCAAAAACGCCUAACACAAAAACGUCAGGUCAAGGUGUAGCUUAUAAGAUGGAAGAGAUGGGCUACAUUUUCUAAACUAGAAAAUACGAACAGUGCAAUGAAACCAAGCACUAUGAAGGAGGAUUUAGCAGUAAAAUAACAAAGAAAGACUAUUUUAAACAAGCUCUGGGACGCGCACACACCGCCCGUCACCCUCAUCAACCAACCACAUCCCAUAAUCAUAUAACUCAACAAACUAUAAGAUGGGGUAAGUCGUAACAUGGUAAGCGCACUGGAAAGUGCGCUUGGAAUACAAAAAGUAGCUUAAAACUAAAGCAUUCAGCUUACAAUUGAAAAAUGUUAUCUACCUAACCUUUUUGAGCCAAAACAUAAGCCCAACUCCUCCUCCCACUCAACUAUCUCAAAAAACAAAUCAUUUGACCAGAACAGUAUCGGAGAAAGAAC
rnacentral:rRNA from 1 species